UACGUAGGGUGCAAGCGUUAAUCGGAAUUACUGGGCGUAAAGGGCUCGUAGGCGGCCAACUAAGUCCUGCGUGAAAUCUCGGGGCUCAACCCCGAGCGGUCGUGGGAAACUGGUUGGCUAGAGUGCGGGAGAGGAGAGUGGAAUUCCUGGUGUAGCGGUGAAAUGCGCAGAUAUCAGGAAGAACACCCGUGGCGAAGGCGGCUCUCUGGAACGCAACUGACGCUGAGACGCGAAAGCGUGGGGAGCAAACAGG
rnacentral:rRNA from 1 species